ensembl:snRNA U6 U6 spliceosomal RNA
GUACUUGCUCUGGCAGCACAUAUACUAAAAUUGGAACAAUAUGGAGAAGAUUAACAUGGCCCCUGCGCAAGGAUGACACGUAAAUUCAUGAAGCGUUUCAUAUUUAA